ACUGAGGACUCUGAGGACAUCCUCCAAAAGCACUUCCAUCUCUCCUGGGCAGUCCCUGAAGACUUGGCCUGGGAACUAAGGGGUCUUGGCUAAUAAAUAGGACCCCAGGAGGUGCACAGCACAAAAGCGCUGCAUCCAGGGUCUUGGAGCCUGCUCCAGGUGGAUCCGUGGAGGGGGGGGAUCGUUACCCAGGCUCGGGUCCCAGGUUCAGUGGGUAUUCUAGGAUAGCUCAAAGUCCAUUCUCAUUUUACAGGAGAUCCAGCUGAGGUCUGUGUGUGCAUAUACCCAGGGUACCAAGAAUGGAGAUGGCCACUAGCUGGAAGUAGGACCCAGGGCCUCCAACAGCAACGAAUCCUGAGUUCACUGCCCCUGAGAGGGUCCAGGCACCACCAACACACCAGCAGCCAAUUCCAGCUCCACUGUGACCUUGGACAGUCAGUUUUCCUCCUUGGGCCUGUUUUCUCACUUGUGGAAUGUCAUGCCCAGCACCUGAGCCAUCUCCCUGGAGCAGUGCUGAGUGAGUCAAGGUCUCACUCCGUUGUCCAGGCUGGAUGAUUGGUGGCCUGAUCAUAGUUCACUGAAACUUCAAAUUCCUGGGCUGGAAUGAUCCUUCUGCCUUAGCCUAGUGAGUAGCUGGGAGUAUAGGUACACACAACCAUGCUCAGCUAAUUAUUUCUUUACUUUCUGUAGAGACUGGGGUCUCA